rnacentral:tRNA from 1 species
UUAACCGAAACCAAAUUAGAGGUAUAUUACUGUUAAUAAUAAAAAUGAAUAAAUUCCGGUUAAA